UGCCAUGUGGUCUAGUGGUUAGGAAUUCUGGCUGUAACCCAGACGGCCCGGGUUCGGUUCCCAGCAUGGGAA
rfam:Stegodyphus mimosarum contig25074, whole genome shotgun sequence.